rnacentral:rRNA from 1 species
UACGUAGAGGGCAAGCGUUGUCCGGAUUCAUUGGGCGUAAAGAGCGUGUAGGCGGCCAGGUAGGUCGGUUGUGAAAACUGGAGGCUCAACCUUCAGAGGUCGAUCGAAACCAUCUGGCUAGAGUCCGGGAGAGGAGAGUGGAAUUCCUGGUGUAGCGGUGAAAUGCGCAGAUAUCAGGAAGAACACCCGUGGCGAAAGCGGCUCUCUGGAACGGUACUGACGCUGAGACGCGAAAGCAUGGGGAGCGAACAGG